AUAUUUGAGGGUGAUAUGGUCGCAACCUUUGUCACCCCAUUGAGUGCCAGGGUUGGUUUGGCUAAUCUGGCUGGCUAGGUGAGUGUCCCCUUCCUCCCUCACUGCUGCAUAUGCAUCCUUCCAGAAACUGCAUGCUGGGCUGAAGAGAAUGACCUUCCAAAUAAAGGAGGUUUUCUGUCAAAGCAGCAGCUGCGCUCCACCACUAGAAACUCCAAACAAGCUCUCAUUUAUAUAGGCACUGAAUUUGUUCAUUUAUAAAAUUAAAUGAUUGUAAUGAGGUAUCACUAAUGUGGUUCUUUAAAAAAAUCUAGAAAUUAUUAGUUUUCCAUU
rfam:Dipodomys ordii contig_607, whole genome shotgun sequence.